UACGGAGGGUGCAAGCGUUGUUCGGAAUCACUGGGCUUAAAGGGCGUGUAGGCGGAUUGCAGGGUGCUGGGUGAAAUCCCCGAGCUCAACUCGGGAACUGCCCGGCAAACCGGCAGUCUUGAGGCAGGUAGAGGUGACUGGAACGACUGGUGGAGCGGUGAAAUGCGUAGAUAUCAGUUGGAACGCCUGUGGCGAAAGCGAGUCACUGGGCCUGUCCUGACGCUGAUACGCGAAAGCGUGGGUAGCAAACAGG
rnacentral:rRNA from 1 species